rnacentral:lncRNA from 1 species
UAUAAGUGACCAGCACUCAUGUACUGCCAUCAUCGUUUUGACAUGGUGUGUGUGUCACUGGUGCUGCUGAAGUGCCCAUUGGGUCACCUCAGUGUAUGUAGUUGCCUGAUGAGGGCAUCAGCUGGCACUGAGUGCUCAUUGAAGGUGCAGCUUGGCAUGCUGCCUGUGGUGAUGCUGUAGGACGAUAACAGACCUGUCCCCCAUGCCGUUGUUCACUUUUACUCCUGCCCCAUUCUCAGGCAACCCAGUAUUCUCUUGUCUCCUUCAAUUUGGAAUACUCCUCAGUCUCUGACUUUCAUGGCCUUGAUCAUUUGGACAACUAUGAACAGAUCCUUUGUUGGCGUGUCCCUUAAUCGGAGUUUCCUCAAGAGUAGGCAUUGCACUUGGGGCCAGAAUGCCACCGAAGCUGUGUCCCCUUCAGUGUUCACCCAGUGGGUGGCCUGGUGCCCAUCUGCCCUGUUACUGGUGUGAUAAUUUCAAUCAUUUCACCAAGCUUUUCCCUCUUCAUAGAAAUUUUGUGAGGAGUUAUUUUGGGAGUACCCACUAAUUUGGGCAUCUGUUGAUGUUUCUUGCCUGCAACGUUUUUAUGGUCAUUGCCAAAUAGAGAUUUCCUUAUCCCACCAUUCCUUUAUUAUUUGUGGGCUUUCUACUACAAGAAAAGAAUGUUCUGGUAUUCCCAUCAGUUUCCUUGAUCCCAUGUGUAUGUGAUGUGGAUUCAUGGAUGCCUGUAUCCUUCAAAGGGUUAUAAUCAGUUGCCAUCAUUUUUUUUUUUUAAAUUUGAUGCUCAAAUUAGUCUAAAUUUAGCAGUGCUAAGUUCAGAACAGUUUCCCUGACCUUUUAUAUGUGUCUUUAUUCCUGUAUUCUUAUUUUUGGGCACAGGAUGUUACAGGAAUCCUCUCUCAUUCUUUCCCUGCCAUAGCUCUGAAACCAGCCUUGUCCCUAGGGAAUCAGAUUCCUUUUGGUGGAGAAUGGUGUGGGAACUUCCACCUGGACCUAAUACAUGCUCAUUGGAAACACACGUGAAUGCCCCAGCCUGUCAGCAGUCGGACAUGAAGGGAAAAAUACACAUGCAUUCACAUCUGGAUUUAAUUCUGAAUCUUCUGUUGAAUUUCUUGAUCUGACAUUGAUAGCUUAGACUCCAGUCCAGCACAUAGGGGCUGUCCAUGGCUCUCUGCUCCUGAAGGAGUACCUCCCCUCAGAUUGGGGGAAACAGACCCUGAUUCCCAUAUUCCUCGCACUAACCCAUCUCCAGGUGCCUGGGCCCACCUUCCACACAAGCUGACCAUCCGCCUCACAGGAAUCUAUCUGGUGGCUUUUUGACAAAGGAGGAAAGGUAGAGGAGAGAGGAAGGACUAUAAUUGCUUCUUUGUCUUAUUCACCUUACAGUUCUAUCAAUUUUGGUUUCUCUUUGGGUAAAUAAAUGUAGAGGAUUGAUUUGCUUACCCCCCUAUCAUUUUUUAAAUGAUCCUCUUUGUGUACUAUAAAACCUACUUCAUUUAUAUUAAUGUAAUAAUCGCUUCUUUCUUGU